GUGAACACUACAGAGGAGGAGGUGGAAGGGGUGGACUCCCAGUCACCAUGCCCAGCUGGGUGGCAUCAGAAUGAGCAUCGCUGCUUCUCCUUCUACCCCGUCUGGGCCACCUGGGCCACUGCAGAGUUGUACUGCUCCCAGCACAGAGGGAACCUGGUGUCGGUUCACAGCCCGGGUCAACAGGUGUUUGUCCAGGAUCUGGUCAGGAGACACACAGACCAGCCGGUCUGGAUAGGAAGCUACGAUGCAGCUCAGGAGGGGAUGUGGCUGUGAGUGACGGCUCAGCUGUUGACAGUUUCUACUGGGAGGAG